GGACCCGCACAAGUAGUGGAGCAUGUGGUUUAAUUCGAAGAUACGCGCAGAACCUUACCAACACUUGACAUGUUCGUCGCGACUUUAAGAGAUUAAAGUUUUCGGUUCGGCCGGACGAAACACAGGUGCUGCAUGGCUGUCGUCAGCUCGUGUCGUGAGAUGUUGGGUUAAGUCCCGCAACGAGCGCAACCCUCACUUUUAGUUGCCAUCAUUAAGUUGGGCACUCUGAAAGAACUGCCAGUGAUAAGCUGGAGGAAGGUGGGGAUGACGUCAAGUCCUCAUGGCCCUUACGUGUUGGGCUACACACGUGCUACAAUGGUAUCUACAACAGGAAGCAAAACUGCGAGGUUUAGCAAAUCCUUAAAAGAUACCUCAGUUCGGAUUGCACUCUGCAACUCGAGUGCAUGAAGCUGGAAUUACUAG
rnacentral:rRNA from 1 species